rnacentral:rRNA from 1 species
CAGCGCCACGGGAAUACGAAGGGUGCAAGCGUUACUCGGAAUUACCGGGCGUAAAGCGUGCGUAGGUGGUGGUUUAAGUCCGUUGUGAAAGCCCUGGGCUCAACCUGGGAAUUGCAGUGGAUACUGGGUCACUAGAGUGUGGUAGAGGAUAGUGGAAUUUCCGGUGUAGCAGUGAAAUGCGUAGAGAUCAGAAGGAACAUCUGUGGCGAAGGCGACUAUCUGGGCCAACACUGACACUGAGGCACGAAAGCGUGGGGAGCAAACAGGAUUAGAUACCCCGGUAGUCCCUGUCUCUUAUACA